CGCCGCGCAGGCCGAGCGCGGCCGCGGCGCUGGCUCGAGAGGCCGCCGCGGCAGGAGUCGGCCGGGGUCGCGCGGAUCGCAGGACCGUUUCCAGCGCAGGGAAACGAGGGAGCGCGCGAGCGCGGCUUGCACGUCCGGUUCCACGUGGGCCGGCCCGUCCUGGGUGGGAGGAACGCGUCCUCGGUGCUCCAGUGCCCGGCGCUGUGCGAGGUGCGGGGGCUGCACACCUCGAGGGGCUUCACAGGGGCAGGAAGCUGGGUGACUAGAUGGCGCAGCUGCUGCGGCCCGUGAUUGCGGAGUGACCCGGAUACCCCGGGCGCUGGCCUGGACCUGGUGGUUGGGAAGGAUGUUUGGGAGGGACCUGAAGGGUGACUUGGAGAGCGCAGGCCAGGCGGAGGGAACAGCGGUGUAAAGGUCCUGAGGCACGGAACGGCAGCCAGUGAGGCUGAAGCGUAGCAGUUUAACCCGUGCCUUAUAUUCUAUGAGAACAUAGAAAAGUGUGUGCCUUAGUCAUGUAGUGUGAAUAUAGAUUUCAAGAGGACGAUACAGAACACUGCAUUAGAUUAGACUAAUUAGUUUCAGGUGUGGGAAAGACUUCCUGUAGCGCCAACAACUGACAGGGCCCUGAAAGUGGGCAAGUUCCCGCCUGGGGGAGUGGGGGUGUCCCAUUUCUUGAGCACCCACCCCAUGCCAGGUCCUACUCUAAUUUCUCACUACAGAACUGGGAGGCAUUUUGCACGUCAGAAAAUGGAGGCUGAAAGAGAUCAAAUGGCUUUUCCAUGGUCAUUGAGCGAGCAAACAGGAGAGGCAAGACCCAUACUCAUGUCCAUUUGGGCUGUGAUGUGUCAGCCUGGUUGCGUUAGAUUUAGGGUUCUGAGGAGGUGGCUGUGCUCUGGGCUGAGGUUCCAUUGUGCCUUGGGAUACAGGUGGUGAUCAGGAAGGAAUACUGACCUUGGUGGGUCCACGUGAAGGGAAAGGCAGCAGACUAGGGAGCCCCCAAGCAGGAGCAGCCUCAAGAGCAGUGGGGGCAGUCUACACGUGCAGGGCCCUCCCCAAUUGGCUCUCUAAAACACUUCCACCAGCUGAAAAGGAAGCAGGCUCUUGUCCCUACAGGGAAGGUGUGAGUUUUGCUAGUAUUUUCACUCAGGAGAAAGCACUUGUGCCUUUUCUUCCCAGCUGGACCUGGGAUUCUGAAUGCUUGAGCAUAGGCUUUAUCAAUUUGAAGGGGUCAGAAAACUGCAGAACAUGUGCCAGUUGUUGCUCAAACCACUGGAACCCAGCUCCAGGCCUCAGGGUUUCUGUCCCACUGAGCACUCUGCAGGCCCAUUCUGGCAGCACAUCAAGGUGCAGUUGGUAGCUGGAGCUCUGCUGUUUUCAGUUAAGUCCCUUUAAGCAGAGGACACCCUCCACUCCCCGGAUGAGGCUUAAGGUUUUUCUACUACGGACAUGCUGUUCUGCUGUUAUUCUGUCCAGAGGAAGUUUACUAUCUCACGUUCUAGAGUGGCCUUCUGUUCUGAACUGACUGCUUCACAAAUACUUCUGCAAGGACAUUUCCACAAAAACC
rnacentral:lncRNA from 1 species